UACGGGGGGGGCAAGCGUUGUUCGGAAUUACUGGGCGUAAAGGGCUCGUAGGCGGCCAACUAAGUCAUACGUGAAAUCCCUCGGCUUAACCGGGUAACUGCGUCUGAUACUGGAUGGCUUGAGAUUGGGAGUGAUGCGGAAUUCCAGGUGUAGCGGUGAAAUGCGUAGAUAUCUGGAGGAACACCGGUGGCGAAGGCGGCAUCCUGGACCAACACUGACGCUGAGGAGCGAAAGCCAGGGGAGCAAACGGG
rnacentral:rRNA from 1 species